rnacentral:rRNA from 1 species
UACAGAGGGUGCGAGCGUUAAUCGGAAUUACUGGGCGUAAAGCGUGCGUAGACGGUUAUUUAAGUCGGGUGUGAAAGCCCCGGGCUCAACCUGGGAAUUGCAUUUGAGACUGAAUAGCUAGGGUGCGGAAGAGGGAAGCGGAAUUUCCGGUGUAGCGGUGAAAUGCGUAGAUAUCGGAAGGAACACCAGUGGCGAAAGCGGCUUCCUGGUCCAGCACCGACGUUCAGGCACGAAAGCGUGGGGAGCAAACAGG